rnacentral:rRNA from 1 species
UACGGGGGGAGCAAGCGUUGUUCGGAUUUACUGGGCGUAAAGGGCGCGUAGGCGGUCAGCACAAGUCAGUUGUGAAAUCUCCGGGCUUAACUCGGAAAGGUCAACUGAUACUGUGCGACUAGAGUGCGGAAGGGGCAACUGGAAUUCUCGGUGUAGCGGUGAAAUUCGUAGAUAUCAAGCGGAACACCGGUGGCGAAGGCGGCCUUCUGGACAGUGACUGACGCUGAGACGCGAAAGCGUGGGGAGCAAACAGG